UAAAGGCUAACAGCCAGCAGUGUAUACACAUUUAGAGGCAGGAGGCAGAAUGGAACUGGAAGAGGGACUACAUUUUAAUUCCAGAAUUUAAAGUGACUUGCCUGUUCAGGCUGCUAUCUACUCACCUAUGGAAAUGAAGACAAUACCUACUUUGCAGGAAAUUGGACUUUGAGCCAAUACUGGACGUAAGCAGGAAAUCAAACUUAGAGAAGCAUUGUGUAUUCUACAAAGACAUCCUAAAUCUUCAAAGUGCUCACAUUUUCCUCUCUUCUCCAGUUUUUUCUUCCAGACAGUACAUCUUCUCCAGAAGAAAAAGGCUUUUAGAUUCAAUACCUGAUACACACCAUCUUCUGUACACCAACAAUUUGGGCCCAGUAUUUGUGUGGAUGGGAGUAGGGAUGAGUGUGGGGGAAGUAUGCAGUAUUUCCUAAUUAGCAGGAUUCAGGAUGCUAGGAAUCGAAGAUAACAAAAUAAAAGUCACAGCCUUCUGGUGAUGCUGUAGCAUUGUUGAAAAAUGCUUUUUUGAGUGUCAAUGAGCCAGCUGAAUGCUCUUAGAAUUCAUCUAGAUCUUAGAGUUCAGUUUGUAAGUCCUACCUAUUUCUGGGUUCUAUAUUCAAAAUAUUUCUCAGAAAAUGUUGGGUUUUUAAAACUAUUCAGCUUGUUUAAAGAAAUUGUUUGGCAGGACCUAGUAUGAGGCAGGUGGAGAAGAGCAACUGAGAAAACCUGCCAGGGAUGAUACUGCUUAAUUAAGGAAGAUUCGGGAUUUUGACUCAGAUCUUGUGACUCUGAGUUCUGCCUGCAUCAUCUUGGCAAGCAGCAGCCCACUGCAGAACACGAAUUCCUGACGACAGAAAUUCAAGAAACUCGAAAUUAACUCAGGAUCUGAUUCGGAUUUCUCUCUUAGCCUGGGGCCUAUCUGAUCUCGGAGAAAUGCUCCUGCCACAGGGACAGUUGAAAAGAAAGCAGGGCCCCAGCUCACGCAUUUCCGUCACAGCCAUUUGUUUUGUUAACCUCAUGUGAACGUUACAAAUGUGUGAUGGAGCAGAGGCCACAUCCUUCUAUAGAUUAGCAAUUUCUUGAGUCAACACGGACCUUUUACCUUGACCUUCAAAGGAAACGCUUCAAAGGAAAAAGCCAAGGUCCUCUUCAGAUGGUGGGAACUCUGAGGUGGCUCCUACUUUGAACUCAGAGUGGCUUGGGUGUCACUGCCAACUGGUUCAUCUCACUGUGUGUGAGCAUCUCUGGGAGCGGGUGGCUGAGUGUCUCCCUCUCGCUCUCUAAAGAUAUUAUGUGUUGUUGGCAUCCUUCUUUCAAAUUAUUCUUACAGUGAAAAGGCCUAUGGAACAAGGUUAUACGAGCGAGUUUCCCGCCGAUAAGUUUAAACAAAUGAACUUCCGUUUUCAUACAGCCUGACCGUGUGAUCUCAGAGAACCAUGUUUUAAACAAUAACAUCCAAGAAAAGAGCCUAAACCUUGGUACUUUAAAGAAAUCUGAGUUUGGAAAUACAAACAUUUCCAUUUCUCCAUUUUUAAGAUCAACAAACACGUCCACCUUGCGGUGCCGGCACCCCGGGUUCUAGUCCUGGUCAGGGUGCCGGAUUCUGUCCCGGUUGCCCCUCUUCCAGGCCAGCUCUCUGCUGUGGCCAGGGAAUGCAGUGGAGGAUGGCCUGGGUCCUUGGGCCCUGCACCCGCAUGGGAGACCAGGAGAAGCACCUGGCUCCUGCUAUCGGAUCAGCGCAGUGCGCUCCUGCCUUCGGAUAGGCGUGGUGCGCCGGCUGCAGCAGGCCGGCCGCGGGGGCCAUUGGAGGGUGAACCAACGGCAAAGGAAGACCUUUCUCUCUGUCUCUCUCUCUCACUGUCCACUCUGCCUGUCCAAAAAAAAAAAAAAAUCAACAAACACGGCCAACAUUGGUCAAAAUGCAACAUACCCUCGCACCUCAAAGUCCAAUUCACUCAUAGCAGUUCUCACAGAUUCGUCACCAGCCAUCUGGAGUGAGAGUUGUGCCUCCUUUUUCCAAUACGUGUACUAGAAUUUCUUUUAAAAGUUAAAAGCACAAGGGGCCAGCACUGUGGUGUAGCAGAGUAAGCUGCUGUCUGCAAUGCUAGCAUCCCAUGUGAGCACCAGUUCAAGUCGUGGCUGCUCUAUUUAUGAUUAAGCUCCCUGCUAAUGUGCCUGGGAAGGAGGCAGAAGAUGGCCCAAGAAUUUAGACCCCUGCCACCCACAUGGGAGACCCAGAAGAAGCUCCUGGCUCCUGACUUCAGCCAGGCCCAGCGCUAGCCAUUGCAGCCACCUAGGGAGUGAACCAGCAGAUGGAAGAGCGAUCUCUCUCUUUCUCUCCCUCUCUCCCUCUCUCUCUUUCUCCACCCCCUUUUCUCUCUGUAACUCUGCCUUUCAAAUAAAUACAUCUGUUUUAAAAAGUUAAAAGCACAAUAAAAAUAUUCCUAUUUUCAUCACAUGAAACAAGCUAUGGGAAGCAAUUAACCCCAAUCAUAGCAUAGUGAGUUACUGUUGGGAAAGCAAAGCCUUGUGAAAAAUAAUAGUGCUUAUUAGUUAAUUCAUUAAUUAAAUUCUUAUUUAAUUAAAAUUGGGGAAUUAAGUGGUUACCGCAAACUUGAGUUCCACCAGAUUUCAUCAGCUGGUUCUCAGACCUUUUUCCCCAAUGGCUCGUGUGUGUAGAAGAGGAGCAUGGCUCAGAGUAGAAGGGAAUAUUUUCAGUUUUGCUCAGCUAUUACUUUACCUAUUAUUGCUUUUUGAAAAUUGGAUGGAGGGUGUUCUCUCCUUCCUUUUCUUUUUUGAGGACGUUCAUUGAUAUGCUCACUUAUUCAUUCUUCCAGAAAACUUGUGGAAUCAUUUAGGCUAAUUCCAAGAAAAUUCCCAUUGGCACUGCAUUUCAUUAGUGCACUAUUUCGGAAAGAACUAAUAGCUUCAUGGAAUAUAUAUCACUGCUGUUUAAGAGUCAGACGAAUCUCUCGAUUUAUUCAAAAUAGUCACAACUCCAGGUAAUGUUUCUGUAAUUUUUUCAUAUGUAUCACACAUGUAUGGACACAUGUGUAAAUAUGGAUACAUGUGUAAAUAUUCAGUACCCCUUUGGAAUUAUUGGUAGAUGACAGUGUGGAGAAAAUAGCACCCUCUCCAUAACUGGUAGAAGUAGAAAUUUGGGGAACUUUUUUCUAGAAAUUUAACCUAAAUUAGCCACAAGGGCUAUGAAAACAUGCUUAGGGAUUCAGCUCCCAGCUAAUGUGCUCGGGAAGGCAGUGGAAAAGGGCCCAAGUACUCAGGCCCCUACCACCCAGGUAGAAGACCCGGAUGGGGAUCUGGGCUCCUGGUUUCAGCUAUAUUAUGUAAAUAGAUUUGCUUGUAGUGAUCCCUUCUUGCAUUUCUGAUUAGUUAAAGUUACAUGAACUUAUGCAAGUUAUUCACACUCUAUUCCUCAGUUUCUUCAUCUGUGAAAUGGUACCUUACAGGGUUUUUGUUAGGAGAAUUAAAUGGGUUGUUGAAUGGAAAGCAUUCAGUGGCUGGCAAAUAGAUAUCUGUUAGUGUUAGCUAUUAUAAUUACUAUUAUUAUCAUUUAUUUAUUCAAUAACUUCUUAUAUUCUAUUUUCUUGUAUUUUAUUAAAGAUCAAUAUUCCAAAGUAAGCUUGAUCUCUUGGUUUUUAUCUUGUUUUUUUAAUGAUAUCUUGAUCAGUUGUGGGUACCAAGGUUACGUUUGCUUUAUAUAAUAAAUUGGGCAGUUGCCCAUCUUUUGCUUUGUUCUGGAACCUUUUACAUCACUUGCAUUUACUUCAAAAAAAGAAACACAACCAGUCAACUAUUCAAAAUGUUUAGCAUGCCAAGUUAUAGAACAUGAUACAGCUGCUAAUCAUACCAGCAUUCCCAGGUAUAUUACAAUUUAGGCCCAAUAAAUGUAAGUCAUUUAAUUAUAUUACUUUCAAUUUAAUUUCAUAAACAUUUAUAAGAUAUAUUAUUCAAGUAGAAAAAUAACUUACAGAACAGCCUGUGCAAUAUGAUCCAGUUUUUUUUUUACAAUUCACAAAUAUUUUAUACACACACACAUGUGUGACUGUGUGCAUAUGUAUGUGUGUGUUUGUGUUUGUAUCACUCCAAAGGCUAAAUGCUAAUUUUGAAAGAAGACUAGUAAUUAAGGUGAUUUUAAAAACUGUUUUCUCUCUUUUUGCUCACCUGGUUUUUCUUACACAGAAUAUAUGUAUGAUCUAUAUAAUCAAAAACAAAUGACAUUUAAAACCCCUGUGCACAUUUAGGGUUAUCUACUCAGUACAGACAAUAUUCUUGACCUUGGUUGGGGGUGGGGAAUGAAAAAGAUCCGUGUGAUCCUGUCCCUGUUCCAGAAAGUCUGUUAUCCAAAACUAGAAAAAAGUGGAAAUACAGAUAGCUAUGUAGUGCCUGUGCCAAGGUACAAGAAAAAUGUUGGAGAUAGGAGGGGCAUGGGGUCUGCAGAUUAAUUCAUACAUGUGGUGGAAUUGGGGUGUGUGUGUGUGUGUGUGUGUGCAGCAUGCCUGCACAUGCAUGUAUGUCCAUGCCUGUGUCUGUGCAUGUAUGGACAACCUUUUUGGUUUCCUCAGGAAGGAUGGUUUUCCUGGGGCUAGGACAUUUUUUUAAAGAUUUAUUUAUUUAUUUGAAAAUCAGAGUUACACAAAGAGAGGAGAGGCAGAGAGAGAGAGGUCUUCCAUCCAAUGGUUCACUCCCCAAUUGGCUGCAACAGCCAGAACUGUGCCAAUCCAAAGGCAGGAGCCAGGAGCUUCUUCCAGGUCUCCCACAUGGGUGCAGGGGCCCAAGGACUUGGGCCAUCUUCUGCUGCUUUCCCAGGCCAUAGCAGAGAGCUGGAUCAGAAGAGGAGCAGCUAGGUCUCGAAGCAGCGCCCAUAUGGGAUGCCAGCGCUUCAGGCCAGGGCAUUAACCCGCUGUGCCACAGUGCCAGCCCCUGGGACAUUUCAGUGCUAAAACUAGGACAGUCUCAGGCAAACUGGAGCAGUUGAUCACCUUUUGCAAUGGCAAAGCAAAAUGCAAUGCUGACGAAAUGUCCAUAUACUUCCU